rnacentral:rRNA from 1 species
GACGAACGCUGGCGGCGUGCUUAACACAUGCAAGUCGAACGGAAAGGCCCUGCUUUUGUGGGGUGCUCGAGUGGCGAACGGGUGAGUAACACGUGAGUAACCUGCCCCUGACUUUGGGAUAACUUCAGGAAACUGGGGCUAAUACCGGAUAGGAGCUCCUGCUGCAUGGUGGGGGUUGGAAAGUUUCGGCGGUGGGGGCUGGACUCGCGGCUUAUCAGCUUGUUGGUGGGGUAGUGGCUUACCAAGGCUUUGACGGGUAGCCGGCCUGAGAGGGUGACCGGCCACCUGGGGCCUGAGGUACGGCCCAGACUCCUACGGGAGGCAGCAGUGGGGAGUAUUGCGCAAUGGGCGGGAGCCUGAUGCAGCAGCGCCGCGUGCGGGAUGACGGCCUUCGGGUUGUGAACCGCUUUCGCAUGUGACGAAGCGUGAGUGACGGUACUGGGUCAAGAAGCACCGGCUAACUACGUG